AGUAGGGGACCACGGAACUCCUGGUGUAGCGGUGGAAUGCGCAGAUAUCAGGAAGAACACCAGUAGCGAAGGCGGUGGUCUGGGCCAAUACUGACGCUGAGGAGCGAAAGCGUGGGGAGCAAACAGGAUUAGAUACCCUGGUAGUCCACGCCGUAAACGGUGGGCACUAGGUGUGGGGACUAUUCAACGGUUUCCGCGCCGACGCUAACGCAUUAAGUGCCCCGCCUGGGGAGUACGGCCGCAAGGCUAAACUCAAAGGAAUGGACGGGGGCCCGCACAAGCGGCGGAGCAUGUGG
rnacentral:rRNA from 1 species